rnacentral:piRNA from 1 species
UUGGAGUUCCUGCAGUGGCGGCCACACUUCU